rnacentral:rRNA from 1 species
AACGAACGCUGGCGGCAUGCCUAACACAUGCAAGUCGAACGAGACCUUCGGGUCUAGUGGCGCACGGGUGCGUAACGCGUGGGAAUCUGCCCUUAGGUACGGAAUAACUCAGGGAAACUUGAGCUAAUACCGUAUAAUGACUUCGGUCCAAAGAUUUAUCGCCUAAGGAUGAGCCCGCGUCGGAUUAGCUAGUUGGUGAGGUAAAAGCUCACCAAGGCGACGAUCCGUAGCNGGUCUGAGAGGAUGAUCAGCCACACUGGGACUGAGACACGGCCCAGACUCCUACGGGAGGCAGCAGUGGGGAAUAUUGGACAAUGGGCGAAAGCCUGAUCCAGCAAUGCCGCGUGAGUGAUGAAGGCCUUAGGGUUGUAAAGCUCUUUUACCCGGGAUGAUAAUGACA